GCCGAUGUAGCUCAGUUGGUAGAGCACGCGACUGAAAAUCGCGGGGUCGUCAGUUCGAGUCUGACCGUCGGCA
rnacentral:tRNA from 1 species